rnacentral:rRNA from 1 species
CCUACGGGUGGCAGCAGUGGGGAAUAUUGCACAAUGGGGGAAACCCUGAUGCAGCGACGCCGCGUGAGUGAAGAAGUAUUUCGGUAUGUAAAGCUCUAUCAGCAGGGAAGAAGCAAGACGGUACCUGACUAAGAAGCCCCGGCUAACUACGUGCCAGCAGCCGCGGUAAUACGUAGGGGGCAAGCGUUAUCCGGAUUUACUGGGUGUAAAGGGAGCGUAGGCGGUAUUGCAAGUCUGAAGGGAAAGCCCAGGGGUUAACCCUGGGACUGCUUUGGAAACUGUUAGACUAGAGUGCUGUAGAGGUAAGUGGAAUUCCUAGUGUAGCGGUGAAAUGCGUAGAUAUUAGGAGGAACACCAGUGGCGAAGGCAGCUUACUGGACAGUAACUGACGUUGAGGCUCGAAAGCGUGGGGAGCAAACAGGAUUAGAUACCCUAGUAGUC